UUUCAAUUGGUUUUAAUCCAGUAGCUGUUAAGAAAGAGGAAUAUAGUGUGGAUACCUCUGAAUCUAGAGAACUUGACCUACUGGAAAAGCUUAAAGGGAAACGGCCAAAGGAGAAUUACAUUGAUGAGAUAGACACUAAGAGACCGAAAUCAGAGUAUGAUGAAGCCUUUAACAAUUCCCUUGGUCCUUCAUGGCAAGAAAUAUUAGGCAUCAAUACCACCAGGCCUUAUAAAGUUCAUCGAAGAGCG
rnacentral:misc_RNA from 1 species